rnacentral:rRNA from 1 species
UACGAAGGGGGCUAGCGUUGCUCGGAAUUACUGGGCGUAAAGCGCACGUAGGCGGCUCUUUAAGUCGGAGGUGAAAUCCUGGAGCUCAACUCCAGAACUGCCUUCGAUACUGUAGAGCUUGAGUUCGGGAGAGGUGAGUGGAACUGCGAGUGUAGAGGUGAAAUUCGUAGAUAUUCGCAAGAACACCAGUGGCGAAGGCGGCUCACUGGCCCGGUACUGACGCUGAGGUGCGAAAGCGUGGGGAGCGAACAGG